rnacentral:ncRNA from 2 species
GAUUUAUAAAGAAGAGGCGAGAGACUAGGCUCUAGGACCCUCUGGCAACCAUCCCGAUAUGAAUUCGGGAAAGGUGCCAAUUCCUACCCAAAUUGGGAACUAUAAGUU